UACGUAGGGAGCAAGCGUUGUCCGGAAUCAUUGGGCGUAAAGCGCGCGUAGGCGGCCCGGUAAGUCCGCUGUAAAAGUCAGGGGCUCAACCCUUGAACGCCGGUGGAUACUGCCGGGCUAGAGUCCGGAAGAGGCGAGUGGAAUUCCUGGUGUAGCGGUGGAAUGCGCAGAUAUCAGGAGGAACACCAAUAGCGAAGGCAGCUCGCUGGGACGGUACUGACGCUGAGGCGCGAAAGCGUGGGGAGCGAACAGG
rnacentral:rRNA from 1 species